UUUUUACAUUAUCAAAUCUGAAUCUCCCCACGGGUCUCAUCUUAAGGCCAUUUCCUCUGGUCCUCGCACUGCAGGCAUGGCCAAGGAGUCCGGCCCGCAGCUCGCUGCCAUCUCCUUUCAGGGACUUGUAGAGAAAAGGAGAACACAAUAACGCUCGCAAGCCGCCGAGGCAGUACCCUGACAAAAAGAUAGGACAAGAGCAUGGACCAGGCUCUCCUCGGUGGCACCCAGCAACAGGAGAUGAGGCAGUGGGCAGAAACUGAUGCACAGAAACUCCACCUGAACAUGAGGAAGAAUUUCUUUACUGUACAGGUGACCGUGCACUGGAACAGACUGCCCAGAGGAGCUGUGGAGUCUCCCUCACUGGAUAUUCCAGAACCAUCUGAACACAAUCCUGUGCCAUGUGCUCUGUGGUGACCCUGCUUGAGCAGGGAGGUUGGACCAGAUAGACCCUUCCAGCCUGACCCAUUCUGGGAUUCUGUGAGGGGAAAUGCAAAAAGUGAUGGCUGGGUGUGGUGCUGUAGGAAAAGGUGAAAAAACAAUAAUUUUAAGAAACAUUCUUUGAAUAGAUGAGUUUGGAUAUUCAAGGUGAGAUAUCAAAUUUUUUCUCCCUUGUGUGUUUAAGUUGUAGUCUCAAAAGUUGUAACUCUGGCACACAGUUCCUCUGAGGUCAGAUUCCUCUCCAUGCAUGUAGCACCUGAACAGAGCCCUGCACUGGGUGAAUGUAUUGGAGCAUCCUUUGUGUUAUAUUCAAGUAUGUGGCUUUCUGAGUGCCAUGGCUGAGAGCAAAGUAUAGGGCAGAAAAGUUAUUAUUCUAUUUUUAAAAUAUGGACUUCAUCCAUGCUUUAAAUUGCUGUAAAAUUAUAUUUCUUGCCCCUUAUUUAAAAAGUAGAGGCGUUAAUUUAUAGAUCACCAAAGUGAAGUUAGAGAGUUCCAAUGCCUAAAAUGUAUCCUUCCCAAAUAAAGUCAAUUAAAAGGCUACUCAUUAUUUAGGAAGUGUUUGUGUAGGAGUGGGGUCAGUUCAAAAAGACAAAAGCCAGCUUGGAAUAAGGCAGAAGAAAAACUAAAACAAAUCAAUAAGACAACUAGUAGGACAACCCUAAGUAUAGGCUUGGUGCUUUGGGGAAAUGCAAGCUUCAAAAGAAAUAUUGUUGAUUGUUGACGCUAAGUUGUGGUUGUGGAAACAAUUCUUCAAAAUUAGAGCAGAGAGACACCUCACUCCAUUAUUAGUUUCUCAUCAGCAAGUCGCUGUGAAGUCCAAGUUGUUGGUCCACUUGAAAAGAAAAAACCCAAAGGAUUAGUAGGUUAGACUGGCUUUUCCUCAUGGGUGACGUUCGGACCUCAGAGGAUUCACAGCCUGGCAAAUGCAAAGGCAGUUACAGGGGAGAAAAAAAGUGAAGAGUCCUAAAACCUGAGCUGCAGUAAACAAGACAGAAGUUGCACAAGGAAGUCUCUUUGCUUUAAUAAUUUAAAGAGCAGAUUUUAUAUUUACAGUUAAAGCAUGAUGGAUGCCAACCAUAAAACUUUCUGUUUAGCCAAGCAAACAGAACAUGGCAGAGAAACAUGAUUCCAUAUGGAACUAGAGGGUUGGAAUCAAAACACUGCCUGCAUCAAUGCAACCAGGACCAUGGCUUCUUUAACACAAUUGUUAUCAUUACAUAAAUCUGCCCAGCUAUUUUCUAACACUGUUCUGACUCUAAACAGCAUAGCCCCGUUUUAGCAUCCUUCAGAUAUAGGAUUAAUAUUUGGGAAGGCUUAGAGACCAAUUUUGCAUUUGGAGAAAGGAAGGUAUGAGAAGGUAAAGUGCCUGCUCAUAGCUGAGGGCAGGGCAGUUUGGCAUUUUCUACAGCAAAACACUGAGAAU